GACGAACGCUGGCGGCGUGCCUAAUACAUGCAAGUAGAACGCUGAAGAGAGGAGCUUGCUCUUCUUGGAUGAGUUGCGAACGGGUGAGUAACGCGUAGGUAACCUGCCUUGUAGCGGGGGAUAACUAUUGGAAACGAUAGCUAAUACCGCAUAACAAUGGAUGACACAUGUCAUUUAUUUGAAAGGGGCAAUUGCUCCACUACAAGAUGGACCUGCGUUGUAUUAGCUAGUAGGUGAGGUAAUGGCUCACCUAGGCGACGAUACAUAGCCGACCUGAGAGGGUGAUCGGCCACACUGGGACUGAGACACGGCCCAGACUCCUACGGGAGGCAGCAGUAGGGAAUCUUCGGCAAUGGGGGCAACCCUGACCGAGCAACGCCGCGUGAGUGAAGAAGGUUUUCGGAUCGUAAAGCUCUGUUGUAAGUCAAGAACGGGUGUGAGAGUGGAAAGUUCACACUAUGACGGUAGCUUACCAGAAAGGGACGGCUAACUACGUGCCAGCAGCCGCGGUAAUACGUAGGUCCCGAGCGUUGUCCGGAUUUAUUGGGCGUAAAGCGAGCGCAGGCGGUUUGAUAAGUCUGAAGUUAAAGGCUGUGGCUCAACCAUAGUUCGCUUUGGAAACUGUCAAACUUGAGUGCAGAAGGGGAGAGUGGAAUUCCAUGUGUAGCGGUGAAAUGCGUAGAUAUAUGGAGGAACACCGGUGGCGAAAGCGGCUCUCUGGUCUGUAACUGACGCUGAGGCUCGAAAGCGUGGGGAGCGAACAGGAUUAGAUACCCUGGUAGUCCACGCCGUAAACGAUGAGUGCUAGGUGUUGGAUCCUUUCCGGGAUUCAGUGCCGCAGCUAACGCAUUAAGCACUCCGCCUGGGGAGUACGACCGCAAGGUUGAAACUCAAAGGAAUUGACGGGGGCCCGCACAAGCGGUGGAGCAUGUGGUUUAAUUCGAAGCAACGCGAAGAACCUUACCAGGUCUUGACAUCCCGAUGCUAUUUCUAGAGAUAGAAAGUUACUUCGGUACAUCGGUGACAGGUGGUGCAUGGUUGUCGUCAGCUCGUGUCGUGAGAUGUUGGGUUAAGUCCCGCAACGAGCGCAACCCCUAUUGUUAGUUGCCAUCAUUCAGUUGGGCACUCUAGCGAGACUGCCGGUAAUAAACCGGAGGAAGGUGGGGAUGACGUCAAAUCAUCAUGCCCCUUAUGACCUGGGCUACACACGUGCUACAAUGGUUGGUACAACGAGUUGCGAGUCGGUGACGGCGAGCUAAUCUCUUAAAGCCAAUCUCAGUUCGGAUUGUAGGCUGCAACUCGCCUACAUGAAGUCGGAAUCGCUAGUAAUCGCGGAUCAGCACGCCGCGGUGAAUACGUUCCCGGGCCU
rnacentral:rRNA from 1 species